rnacentral:tRNA from 1 species
AAGACAUUAGUAAAAUGUUAAUACACCACCUUGUCAAGGUGGUAUUACAGGUUAGACCCCUGUAUGUCUUA